rnacentral:rRNA from 1 species
AUUGAACGCUGGCGGCAGGCUUAACACAUGCAAGUCGAACGAGUGGCGGACGGGUGAGUAAUGCUUGGGAAUCUAGCUUAUGGAGGGGGAUAACUACGGGAAACUGUAGCUAAUCCCGCGUACCAUAGGAUGAGCCCAAGUGGGAUUAGGGAGUUGUGGAGGUAAAGGCUCACCAAGCCGACGAUCUCUAGCUGGUCUGAGAGGCGGACCACCCAACCGGGGACUGAGACACGGCCCAGACUCCUACGGGAGGCAGCAGUGGGGAAUAUUGCACAAUGGGCGAAAGCCUGAUGCAGCAAUGCCGCGUGUAGGAAGAAGGCCUUAGGGUUGUAAAGUACUUUCAGCGGGGAGGCGUUACCCGCAGAAGAAGCACCGGCUAACUCCGUGCCAGCAGCCGCGGUAAUUC